UUUGGUGGAAUAUAAAAGCGUCAGUAUUGACAUUAUGCAGAAGUGCGUCUGCCUAGCGUCAGUGACGGAGUUACAGGAUUUCCGUGUGAAUGUCCGAGAGGUAGGAGUAUUCAGCCGUGAUGUGGGCUGUUUGUUUGUGCCAUGCAGGGUUACAUUAUUUCAUUGUAGUGUGGAUUGAGGAGCAUUUGUGGGAUGCUUUUAGUGAUGGCUGUUUCCAUGGAAAUGCAUUCUAUCUACCAUGGAGUUCCCUGUGUUAUGGGAGUCGCCAUUUGACAGACAUUUCUACUAUGGGUUUGGUUGCUUAUUAGUGACCUAGCUAGUGAUCCUUACUCUUGGUGUGUGUUGUAUUUACACAGUUAAUGUCUGAGCCAAUGCAAGAGAUGUUGCAGCGGUCUUUGGUUUCCCUUUAAACUGCUGCUUGGAUGUCUGCCGUUCAUGAUUGCUUCACCAUAGAUGACUGCUUGGACAUCGAACUGUGUUCUCGUGGCCGUUAUAUUGUUUCUGGGAUCAAUCUUUGGAGCUGUGUGAGAUCAGCCUGUGUGAUUGUGCUGCUGGACCGGACCAUCAGAUCAGCACUAUUAGUUUGACCGCCGUUGUUCAUGUGAUAUCGCACUGUGUUUACUCGUUAAUCCUAACCGAUGUCUUCCAGCAUGCGACACUUGUGGGAUCAGCCGGGUCAUUAGUCUGGCCUGCCGCCUGGUGCUUUACUCCUAAUUUUGAAGUGUCGUAUGUAUCAACUCAAAUCAAAGUCUUGAGGGGGUGUACAACGGGCAGUUAUCCACCAUUUGUAAACCAGGUUGCUCCUGCUGUCGGACGCAGCGCCCCAUUGACUGCAUAGAACAGAAUUGGAGGGCCAGCGCUGUUGGAGGAUCCAAUGCCCUGUUUGCCUUGACACGUUCAAGACCUGAUUAAUCUUUGUGGGUCUAAAUGCAGUGAAUUUUGGCCUUCACUCUGUAACUGAAGGUAUUUUCACAUGUAACCUGUCAGUCAUGGUCUCAUCUGGAAAGAGAUUGACGGAUCUGAGCGGACGCUCUCAAUGUCUUGAUGGUGCUUGGGAGUUUCAAUGUUUACACAUUUAGAGGAAAUAAACCUAUGAAUGGCAUACUAAGAGUAGUCAAUGAACAAUAAACUGGGUUAAGAGAAUGUAUUUAAAUCUUAUAUAUUACAUUUACCUUUAAAGUCUUUAGAAACUUUGCUAAACAUUGUGAUUGUGUUGUUUGUGAUCCUCCAUCAGCAGCUGCAGUAUCUCUCAGCUGUAUCAGUGCAUCACUGUGACGUCUGACUGACCGAGGUUUUUGUA